UACGUAGGGCGCAAGCGUUGUCCGGAAUUAUUGGGCGUAAAGAGCUCGUAGGCGGUCUGUUGCGUCCGCUGUGAAAACCCAGGGCUUAACCCUGGGCUUGCAGUGGGUACGGGCAGACUAGAGGCAGGUAGGGGAGAAUGGAAUUCCCGGUGUAGCGGUGAAAUGCGCAGAUAUCGGGAGGAACACCGGUGGCGAAGGCGGUUCUCUGGGCCUGACCUGACGCUGAGGAGCGAAAGCGUGGGGAGCGAACAGG
rnacentral:rRNA from 1 species